CCUACGGGGAGCUGCAGUGGGGAAUAUUGGACAAUGGGCGAAAGCCUGAUCCAGCCAUGCCGCGUGUGUGAAGAAGGCCUUCGGGUUGUAAAGCACUUUCAUUGGGGAAGAAAGCCUUGGGGCUAAUACCCUCGAGGAAGGACAUCACCCACAGAAGAAGCACCGGCUAACUCCGUGCCAGCAGCCGCGGUAAUACGGAGGGUGCGAGCGUUAAUCGGAAUUACUGGGCGUAAAGCGCGCGUAGGCGGUCUGAUAAGCCGGUUGUGAAAGCCCCGGGCUCAACCUGGGAACGGCAUCCGGAACUGUCAGGCUAGAGUGCAGGAGAGGAAGGUAGAAUUCCCGGUGUAGCGGUGAAAUGCGUAGAGAUCGGGAGGAAUACCAGUGGCGAAGGCGGCCUUCUGGACUGACACUGACGCUGAGGUGCGAAAGCGUGGGUAGCAAACAGGAUUAGAUACCCCAGUAGUC
rnacentral:rRNA from 1 species